rnacentral:tRNA from 1 species
CGUUCAGUAGCUUAGUUGGUAGAGCAUGUUCUUCAUACGGAUAAGGUCAGUGGUUCAAGUCCACUCUGAACGA